AUCCAAUUGACAAGUUCCAAAUAGGAUGAAACGUACGUCAAACUGGAU
rnacentral:hammerhead_ribozyme from 1 species